GGCAUCCGUCUGAUCGUGAAGCCGCGCGAGCGGCAGCAGAGCCAUCUCGCGCGCGUGCGCGAACAUGAGUCCGCGCGCGCGCUGCGCCCGCUCGGCGAUACGGCGACGACGGCGGGCGCCGCGUGUCCGAUGACGGCGGCGCGCGAGCCGGGCGCGAGCGCCGCCGCGCUUGCCGCGGUGGAGGCGGGCGCGCUCGACGCCGCGCAUCGAGGCGGCGCGGCCGCCGCCGCCGCGGGCGAGCCUUGCCCGCCGCGCGAUCCGGCCGAGGCCGCGCCGCUGCCGCUCGCGGCGGCGCCCGCCCCGGCGUCGCCGGCCGUCGACGCCGACGCGAGCGCCCGCGGCGUGCCCGCAUGGCGCUUCACAUGGCGGCCCGUGCCCGUCGAUCCGGUGCCCGACGAGCCGUCGCCCGCGCUGAGCGGCAGGCGAAUCGCGCUCGUCAACGGGCGCGGCGGCACGGCCGAGCGGGUCGCGGCGGCGCUCGCGCGAACCUGCGCGAAAGUGUCGGUGUUCGCGCCCGCGGCGAGCGCCGAUCACGCGGAAGCGGCGCGGGUGUUCGUCAACGAGGCGGGGCCGCUCGACGGCAUCGUCGAUCUCGGGCUCGAGGCGCCGUUCGCGCUCGACGACGCGGGCGCGUGGGAGGCGCCGAUGCGCCGCACCGUCGAGCUGCUCAAGGCAUGCUACGGCGACUGGGCGGCGGAGGACGACACAUCGCGGCUCUUCUAUGUCGCGCUCACGUGGAUGGACGGGCAGAUGGGCUACGGCGAGACCGCCGGCGCGCAGCCGCUCGGCGGCCUGUGGGCCGGGCUCGCGAAGACGCUGCCGCAGGAGCUGCCGAACUGCAACGUGCGCGUGCUCGACAUCGCGCCCGACGAGACGGGCCGCGUCGAUCGGCUCGUCGUCAACGAGCUCUAUCGCUGGGGGCUGUUCGAAGUCGGCUAUCGCGGCGGCGUGCGCUACACGUUGCACGCGAAGCGCAACGAACUGCCGCCGCACGCCGUCGACGCGCGCACCACGCUCGGCGCGGGCGACACCGUGCUGUUCUCGGGCGGCGCGCGCGGCAUCGGCCUGUUGUGCGCGCGCUCGCUCGCCGAGCGUCAUGGCUGCACGGUGAUCGUCACCGGGCGCGAGACGCCGCCCGACGGCGGCGAGCCGUGGAUGGCGCUCGACGAGCCAGGCUUCAAGCACUAUGGCCUCGAGCAGUUGCGCGCGGCGACGCCCGAGCAUCCGCCGAAGGCGAUCCGCGCGGCGCUGCAGCGCCUGAAGCGGCGGCGCGAGCUGAGGACGGCGCUCGACGAGAUGGCCGCGCUCGGCCUGCCGGUUCAUUACCGCGUGUGCGACGUGACCGACCGCGCGGCCGUGCGCGCGCUGUGCGACGAGCUGGGCGAUUCGCUGCGGAUGGUGAUCCACAACGCGGGCGUCGACCGGCCGGUGCGCCUGAUCCAGAAGCGUGCCGAGGAUUUCGCGGACACGGUGCGCACGAAGGUGCUGGGCUUCGCGAAUCUGUGCGACGCGGUUCGCGCGCGGCCUCGGCUCGUGCAGUUCUGCAACGUCGGCUCGCUGACGGGGCGCUGGGGCGGGAUGACGGGCGAGACCGACUACGCGGCCGCGAACGAGGCGCUCGCGCGCCUGGGCCUAUGGGCCGCCAGGCACGCGUUCUCGCCCGCCUGCGGCGUGAAGACGCUCGUUUGGCCGACGUGGGAAGGCGUCGGGAUGAUCACGAACUUCGCGGUCACGCAGCGCUAUGUGAGCCCGAUGAACGUCGAUGAGGGCGUGCGGCACUGGCUGCGCGAACUGGCCGCGCCGGGCAGCGGCGAGGUGAUGUUCAUGGGCGCGGUCGGCCGCGCGCCGACGCCCAUGCAGAUCAAGGGCUUCGUGCCGAUCCGCGAGCUGCCGAACAUCGGCGAGCUCGUCACGCGCCGGCACCACGUCGGCGAGCCGGUGCGGUUUCGGCCGUUCAAGCGCUUCGAGAGCCGCUAUGCGAUCGAUCCCGCGGUCGCGCCGUACGCGCACGCGUUCCGCUUCAACGGGCGCGCGGUGCUGCCCGCGUCGCUCGUGCUCGAGCAUGCGUGCGCGGUCGGCGACUGGGUGAUGCCGCCGACGGGCGAGCCGCGCGAGCUGAGCGAGAUGACGAACGUCGUGCUGCGGCUCGACGCGCUGCCGGACGUGCCGGCGGGCGGCGCGCCCGUCGAGCUCGCGAGCGAGGCGGCCGGCUACAUGAUCGGCGACGUCUGGUGCGUCGACGUGCGGUGCAGCGACGCGCGCACGCAGGCCGAGCUGCUCAGCAUGACGCUCGUCUACCGGCCGCAGCCGGAGCAGAUCGGCGCCGCGUUCGCGCGCGCGCCGGACACGACGCCCGAACCCGCGCCGCUCACGAGUGCGCCGCACGCCGCGUGGAACGGCGAGCUGCUGCCGGCCGGCGACUGGAGCGUGCCCGACGACGCCUCGGCCGGCAUCGUGCGGAUCGGCCGCGUGCCGUCCGCCGCGGUGCUCAGCUUGUGGGCGCUGCCGUUUCCGCUCGAGCUGCGCCUGCCCGUCAAUCACGUCGAGCAUGUGCUGCGCGUGCUGCUCGCCGAAUGGGGCGCCGCGCGGGCCGACGCGCCGGCCGUGUGGCGGAUCGGCGGCGCGAAGCUCGCGCGCCUGCCCGCGGCGUCGGCCGACGGCGUCGUCGAAUACGCGGCCGGCCGCUUCGCCGUGCUCGAUGCACGCGGCUACGUGCUGCUGCGCAUCGACGACGCGCGCGUGGACGGCGAGCCCGCACAAGCCGCGCUGCCCGAAACGGGCGCGCUCGCCGAUCC
rnacentral:rRNA from 1 species